rnacentral:rRNA from 1 species
ACUACUGGACGGAAAUUCCUCCGGCCCAUCCUUCGGUGAAGAGUAUGACUAUCCGCGUAAAGCUAUGCUAAUUUCAGGACUCAGAGAACAUCGAUACCUCGAAGGCACAUUGCAGCCCCGGGAUCCCAUUGCCCAGGGGAUCCAUCCGGUUAAAAGAAU